rnacentral:rRNA from 1 species
GACGAACGCUGGCGGCGUGCUUAACACAUGCAAGUCGAACGGAAAGGCCCCUUUGGGGGUACUCGAGUGGCGAACGGGUGCGUAACACGUGAGUAACCUGCCCUUGACUUCGGGAUAACUUCAGGAAACUGGGGCUAAUACCGGAUAGGAAUCCUUGCUGCAUGGUGGGGGUUGGAAAGCUUCGGCGGUUUUGGAUGGACUCGCGGCUUAUCAGCUUGUUGGUGGGGUAGUGGCUUACCAAGGCUUUGACGGGUAGCCGGCCUGAGAGGGCGACCGGCCACAUUGGGACUGAGAGAAGGCCCAGACUCCGACGGGAGGCAGCAGUGGGGAAGAUUGCACAAUGGGCGGAAGCCUGAUGCAGCAACGCCGCGGGCGGGAUGACGGCCUUCGGGUUGGAAACCGCUUUCAGCAGGGGAGAAGCUUGUGGUGACGGUACCUGCAGAAGAAGCACCGGCUAACUACGUG